rnacentral:rRNA from 1 species
UGCCAGUAGUCAUAUGCUUGUUUCAAAGAUUAAGCCAUGCAUGUCUAAGCAGAGCCCUUGAAUGGUAAAGCCGCGAAUGGCUCAUUACAACAGCCACAGUUUAUUGGGUCUCCAUUUACUUGGAUAACUGAGCUAAUUGUUGAGCUAAUACACGCACCAAAGCUUCGACCUCACGGGAGGAGCGCAUUUAUUAGAACAAAACCAAUCGGACUUCGGUCCGUCCAUUGGUGAAUCUAAAUAACUUAGCCGAUCGCAUGGUCUCGCACCGGCGACUCACCUUUCAAAUGUCUGCCUUAUCACCUUUCGAUGGUAGUUUAUACGCCUACCAUGGGUUUUACGGGUAACGGAGAAUAAGGGUUCGACUCCGGAGAGGGAGCCUGAGAAACGGCUACCACAUCCAAGGAAGGCAGCAGGCACGCAAAUUACCCACUCCCGGCACGGGGAGGUAGUGACGAAAAAUAACGAGGCGGUUCUCUAUGAGGCCCGCCAUCGGAAUGGGUACAAUCUAAAUCCUUUAACGAGGAACUAUUG